UUGGAGGGCAAGUCUGGUGCCAGCAGCCGCGGUAAUUCCAGCUCCAAUAGCGUAUAUUAAAGUUGUUGCAGUUAAAAGCUCGUAGUUGAAUUUCGGGGUUAGUAGAUUGGUCAUGCCUCUGGUAUGUACUGGUUUCACUGAUUCCUCCUUCCUGAUGAACCGUAAUGCCAUUUAUUUGGUGUUGCGGGGAAUUUGGACUGUUACUUUGAAAAAUUAGAGUGUUUAAAGCAAGCUAACGCUUGAAUACAUUAGCAUGGAAUAAUGAAAUAGGACGUUCGAUCCUAUUUUGUUGGUUUCUAGGACCGCCGUAAUGAUUAAUAGGGACAGUCGGGGGCAUCAGUAUUCAAUUGUCAGAGGUGAAAUUCUUGGAUUUAUUGAAGACUAACUACUGCGAAAACAUUUGCCAAGGAUGUUUUCAUUAAUCGGGAACGAAAGUUAGGGGAUCGAAGACGAUCAGAUACCGUCGUAGUCUUAACCAUAAACUAUGCCGAUUAGGGAUCGGACGGUGUUAUUUUUUUGACCCGUUU
rnacentral:rRNA from 1 species